CCUACGGGAGGCUGCAGUGAGGAAUAUUGGUCAAUGGACGAGAGUCUGAACCAGCCAAGUAGCGUGAAGGAUGACUGCCCUAUGGGUUGUAAACUUCUUUUAUAAAGGAAUAAAACGAGGCACGUGUGCCUUUUUGCAUGUACUUUAUGAAUAAGGAUCGGCUAACUCCGUGCCAGCAGCCGCGGUAAUACGGAGGAUCCGAGCGUUAUCCGGAUUUAUUGGGUUUAAAGGGAGCGUAGAUGGGUUGUUAAGUCAGUUGUGAAAGGUUGCGGCUCAACCGUAAAAUUGCAAUUGAUACUGGCAGUCUUGAGUACAGUUGAGGUAGGCGGAAUUCGUGGUGUAGCGGUGAAAUGCUUAGAUAUCACGAAGAACCCCGAUUGCGAAGGCAGCUUACUAAACUGUGACUGACAUUGAUGCUCGAAAGUGUGGGUAUCAAACAGGAUUAGAUACCCGGGUAGUC
rnacentral:rRNA from 1 species